GCCUUCUACUUUUUUUUUUUUUUUUUUUUCUGUUACUCAAAACCUCCGCGAGUCGGGUAACUUUGUUAUUUUCAUUUCUUGAAAGGUUUCCACUUUUCCUUUUUCUGUUACUCCACAGCAGUCAGCUCUAGGCACCACCCCGCACAGACCCUGGAAGAAGAAAAGUAUCCAAAUGUAUCAUGUUCAAACAGUGUUUCCAAGAGUUUGCAACAAGCUCUGGCAAAAGAAACAGAGGAAAAGGGAGUGGAGAAAGGAAGUCUUUUGUUUUAGGUGCCCUCUUCACCCGCACCCCCCCCCCAGCCCUAUCAUCUCACAAUAGUUUGUGGGGUGAAGUAGGACUCUAAGAACGUGUAGAAGGUUCCAUGUCACAUUUCUUAUAUGUUUUAAUGUUUUUUGAGGUUUUCCUUGGAUUGCCCCAUUUUGAAUGUUUCCCAUUCCGUUGCAUGAAUUACACUUAAUUUUAAAGAAUGUUACCACGCAUUGAAUUCAUAAGGCAAGACCUCUUUAGCAAAUCGAUACAUUCCAAUAAUCAUCCAAUUAUAUAAUUACUAUUACUCAAUCUUUCAAGGGAAACUGAGAAGAAAAAGUAUAACCAACAUCUCCAGUUGAAUUCAUCCAAUUAAAAUAGCAAGGGCGACUGCGUAGAGAAAUCCGUUUACCGUUAGGCAGUUUCGGACACUGCAAUUCAAGAAGUGUCAAGGAUAUCUGCGAUGAUUCAGUGACCACCAGGGGGCACCAGGAUCUCUGGGUGUUCUGGCCAAUCAAGUCCACACGGAAUGAAGACAAGACUUUUGAGACCUACUCUGCCCUUCGAUUCAUAUAACAUGUAUUUGAGGAUGAUAAGAAACGUCUCAACCAUUGAGUAUUUCAGGUUUGGUAAGUCACUUCACCUUUUUGCAUCAAUGGGAUUCUUAAUUGGCAAUCAACGCCUUUGUAAAUUUGAGCAAAUUGGUUCAUUUUCCCCAGUUUUGUUACCUCAUUUAUUUAUAAAAGGAUAAGAUAGAGUAUCUCUACUAUCUUUUUAAUUAACACUUUCUGUCACUUUAUAACAAUGUUUGUUAGAGAUAAGGCAUAUAUAUGUGGAAAUAUAUAUAACCAAAAAACCAACCAACCAACCAACCAAACAAACAAACAAAAAACAAAACCCUCAAGAGUCAAUGUGGUAUUGUAGAAAUAUCAGGGAUUUUCGCUCAGAUUAUUCCAUAUCAAAAUUUUGGUGCUACCUUACUUUCUGUGGGACAUUAGGUAACUUAUUUAAACUCUACAAGCCCAAGUUUCAUUGGUGUCAAUAGGAAAUACUAAAAUUAGUAUCUGUCAUCUUUGUGAUGAGAACUAGGUAAUGGUCUUGUACCAUGUGGGUCUGUGUCUGUUAUAGUACCAGCAAGAAACAGCACACCUGCACUAGGUUCAUUCUAGAAUAAUGUAUUUAUAGAGAUACUAAUUAUGGAGGUAUAGGUGUAUGGUAACCACAAAGGAUAUUGCAAUAAUGUAGAGCAGCAUAGCAGGAGACAAAUUGUUACCACACUUGGAUUCAGGGGGUAUGGUGGAGGAAUAAGUUUUGGGAGCUUGGAGGGACACAGUCAGCCUAAGACAGAAAUAAAUUUCAUUCAGAAAGGUAUAAACUUGGUUAACAGCCUCAUUAAAUCAAAUCUGGGCUCCUGAAUUUCAACUCUAAUAAUAUCUGUGUGGUUUAGGUAUCUUCAUAUAAACAGAUAUUCAGAGAAGUUUCUUCACACUGAAACUUAAUGAAGGUAAGCAACUUUUGUUUGUCCAGAGUAACUGAGUCCAUAAACCAAAGGAGGACUUUAUAAAAUUUACAGUAUAUUCAGAUAAGAUUUAUAAUGGAAAGGGUGUAAGUACUGAUAUUUCCAAAUUACUCUCACAUAAAACUUGUAACAUUCAUUUAACAAUACGAUGUAUCCAAUCUGGGUUCUGAUCUCUCUGUCUCAAGUUUGUCUUGCCCAAAUCUAUCUGACCUAGCUCCAGGAUCCUUAAUACAAGAUUCUCAGUCUUUUCCUAUUUUCCUUCCUGAAUGCGUACUCUUUAAGUACUAGAUCUUUAUCAAUUGAUUUCUACAGAAAGCUGUGUUUCACUUCAAUAUGCUCUGGAAACUGCUGUCCGGGAGUAGUUUCCAGCUGCUCUCUGCCCUUCUAUUCUGAGAGCUCUGUGCCUACUGGCAGCUGGUUUCUCUUUGUAGAAUUAGUAUUCUCUUCUUUACUUUGCUGAUGCAAGAGGGGUUUUUAGUUCCUUGUUUUAAAGCUCACUUCCUGCUUGGAAUCAGAACUGGAUCUGCUGUUGCAGGGAAACAUUGAUGUCAUGACACUUCCUUAGGUAGCAAUAGCUCAAGGCACCAUUGUUUAAUUACUUCAUGUCCUACCUGUCAG
rnacentral:lncRNA from 1 species